CACAUCGUCAAUUGAUCGGGGUGGGGGACAUGCGUAAAGUGUGAGGUCUGCAGUCAUCAUUUCACUAAGAGAAUACUUAUGCAUUUUAAAAUGUCAUCCAGAAUAAAUGGAUCAGAAAGUGAGUCCCAUAUCCAACUGAGUCUGUGGAUGAACAGCCAUGGUUACACCCAGAACUUGCUUAUGUUUUCAAAUGCAAGCCCAGUCAUGAGUGGAGUGCAAAACAAAAGAUUCAGGAAAGGGUUGAUGAAUAUAAGCAUGAGAAGAGAUCCUUCACUAACAUGCCAGGUUUCCAGUGCCAGAGGAUGCAAAGCAGCCCCAGAGCAUCACCGAGCCACCACCAUGCUUGACUAUGGACAGAGUGGUCUUCCUUCAUUCUUCUUCCUCCAGACAUACUGCAGAUCCAUCGUGCUGAAAAGUUCCAGUUUUGUUUCAUCGCUCCUCAGAACAGAAUCCCAAAACUUCUGUGGCUUAUUUAUAUGAUUUUGAGCCGAAAUUUCUUGUGCUUUUGGGUCAGUAGUGGUGUACGUCUUGGAGUUAUGGCAUGAAAACCUUCUGCGUUUAGUACACGCCUUACUGUGCUCACUGAACCCUCAGUGCCUGUUGCACCAAGUCUUGCUGCAGGUCUUUUGCAGUCACUCGAGGGUUUUUCAGAACCUGCCUUCUCAGAAAUCUGGUUGCAGCCGUGGAUAGCUUCCUUUAUCUGCCCCGUCCAGGAAGUGUACACUCAACAAACCCCUAGCCAGUUCAGGUAUUUCAUGUGUUCCAGCUCAAGCACAUCUGGUGCAACUAAUGAAGCCCUUGAUUAUUUGCAUAAUGUGUGCUUGAGACAACACCUGUUUUGCAUAUUUGUGCUGUUGUGAGAGAUUCUGUUGAGGGGGUGAAUAAUUUUGAGACUGGAGAAAUCAUUAUAAGUCAUUAUAAGCUGAAUUUGGAGAAACCACUUGAAGCAUUCGUUGUGUUGAACUAUUUCAAUUGCUUUUGUUUGAUUUGUUCAUCGCAAACAGCUGAAAGUCUGUAAAUUUUGACAAUAAACCUGAUUUUCAAUGGGGGUUGAAUCAUUUUGAUUGCAAAAUAAUGAAAGAACAUUAAUAUUAUUUGAGGAGGGAAUGUUUUUUGUGUGCUGUAAAGUGGAUUUGUUUAGUGGCAGUGUGUGGCUGGAAAAUACUCAAGUAUGGGUUGAAUGAACAUUUUGUCAUCAACAAAAAACAAAUAAUAGAGAUGUUAGGCUAGUGUGUACACUAUACAUCAAAAUUUCGACAACAUAGACUGAAUAUAUAUAUAUUUCAUUGUUUGACAUCAUAUUACAUAGGCUUAUGUUUGAAACUUGUUUUUAAAACACAAAGCUGAUGUUACAUGAUUAAGGAACUAAACUAUUUUAUUGGAGUUUACAAAUAUUUAAAAUGCAAUUUUACCAAAUACAAAUUACAAUAAAAUAUCAGCAUAGUAAAUUUAUUUUUUUCUUUUCCUUCAUAGUACAGUAGACUAACUAGAUUAUUUUUAAAAGCAUCAUUUAUCUUCAGUAUAGUCUUAACUAAAUAUCUAUUCCUCACAUCUAAGAUAGAGUAUUGCACCACAUUACACAUUGCAUUUUACAAAAAUACAUAAUUUAAAAGCUAUUUCUUUGACAUAGGUUUAGUCUACUAUCUAGUUAAAUCUUUUAUUUCAUCUCAUCUGUUUAUUUCCAUUCAUUUCUUGUGAUUGUGUGGAUUCCUUCUGUCUUUACUAGGGGGAAAAGAGGAGAAGGGCUUUUUUGGCAAGCGUUCUGUGUCUGAGCGAGAGUGCUGAGUGUAACUCCAUGUCUGAGCAUCCUGCCCUGAUUAUUCUGUGUGAAGCUGUGUAUUUUUAGCAAACAAAUAGCUGUUUUCAAUGCUUUUCUCCAUGGUGCAUGAAUAAACAAUGUCAUUUCUUAGCGUAGUGUGUGCGCAGGUUAUUUAUUCCCCAUAACAAAUGUUUCAAACUUUCUUUUUCUAUACAAAUACAUAAAUUUAUCUCUUUGUCCAUGUUGGA